rnacentral:lncRNA from 1 species
GACUGGUGAAGAGUUUCCCUGGAAUCCUCUUACAACAUAUUUGCUGGUAUGAAAUUCUCAAAAAGUUUGUCUCUGAUGAGUAUCACAGAGAUUCACUGAAUUAUACAAGUGGCUUCUACCACUUCUGCAUUCUGUUGAGUGUGUUGAAUGGAUACAUGAGUCACAAAACUAAUCUCUUCAAUUCACUCUCUGAUUAAUGUUUCAAUCUUUCAAAGCACUAGCCUAACAUAAUAUAGUCAUAUCUUUGCUUUUCUCCCCAGAGCAUGCUUUCCUGAGAGUGGGUCUCCUAAUUUUAGCAUUUUUUUUUUCUAAUCUGGGUAAGCUGAGAAUUUCUCAAUUUAUCAGAUAUCAGUUCCUUUUUACUUAACAGGUCUUUUUCUUUGCUAUGAGCUUUGAGAAGAAAUCUGGCUGCACCUUUAAUACUUUGCUUGUAAAGCCCCUCAGCUAAAUCUACACUUUCAGGAUAUAAAACAUUUUGUGCAUAACUGAGUAACACAAUGGUGGGAGGCUCUCUGCUACUCUAUAGCAAGAAUUCUCUUUUCUCCAAUUGCCAAUAAUAAGAUUCUCAUUUUCUUUUGAGCCCUCACUGACAAAGCCUUCAAUAUUCAUAUUUCUACCAAUAGUGUUUUUAAGGCAAUCUAAGCUUUUCUGAAAAUCUAUCCUGCUUUUAAAAAUUCUUCCAGACUCUGUCUAUUGCCCAUUUCCAAAUCCAUGUCUACAUUUAUAUGUAUUUUUUAAAGUACUAUUCCACUUCUGGUACCAAGAUUUCUAUUAGUUUUCUUAUUACUGUAACAAAUUACCACAAGUUUAGUGGAUUAAAACAACACAGACUUGUUGUUUUGUAGCUCUGAACUCUAGGUAUAUAAGAAGGUUCUCAUUAAACUAAAAUCAAUGUAUCUGCAAGAUAGUGUUCCUCUCUGUAAGCUCUUGGAGGGGAAAUGUUAACUUUUCUAGCUCCUAGAGGCUGCCCAAAUUUUUUGGCUUGUGGUCCCUUUUAAUCAUUAAACCCAGCAAUGGCUAGUCAUAUCUUUCUCAUAUUGUAUCACUGUGACUGUCCCUCCUUGUUAUAUAUUGGUCCAUCUGGAUAACUUAGCAUAAUCUCUCUAUUUUAAGGUUAGUUAUUAGCAACUUUAAUCCCUGCUUCCUUGUGAUGUAACAUAGUCACUUAUUCCAGGGAUUGGGAGAUGAUCAUCUUUGAGGGAGUCAUUAUUCUGUUUACCAAAAUGGCUUUCAUCCCCCUUGCUCCCAACCCAACUUUCAACCAAGUAUUAUAUAUGAUAUUUGACCACAAUGUGGCUUUAUUUUCUUUGAAUCCAGAAUGUUCUCACCUCCCUUUCAGUGAACACACCUUAAACAGUGAGUUUUAUCUUGUAGAGCAUUCCAUACUCUGACCAUGGGUGCUUGUUUUGUCACUGUAAGGCUCAGGUUGAACAUUUUGUUCAGAGGACAUCAUUCAUAAUAUCACGUGCAUUAUUUUUUGCACCCCAUCACCACUCUUGGUAAUGCUAGGUUGGGCUACAUGGUCCCAGUGAACUGCCAUAACUCUGUUCUAUAGAUACACUCUUUCUGAAGUUAAUAAAUUACUGAAAGAGUGACACUUUGGGAUGUGUGUAAAUAUCCAUUUUCCCCACAAUAGGUUACAUAGUGUUUGUAACUUCUAUUGAUGGUCCUUCCACAAAUCAAUUCGUUACUUCAGAAGAUGAAAAUGGUGACUUCCUAAUUCUACCACUAAAAAUCUCUAUUGUCUGGCUUUCUUCUGUGAAGGAGAAUAUAUGUGCCUCUUUUUUUCCCCCUUUCAAAUAUUGUUACAGUAUUAUGCAUUUAAUUAUCAUUGUGUUGUUGGUGCAUUAUAAUUGCUACCAGUAUAUUUUUUAAAUUCUCACUAUUCCCUGCAUAACCAGGUGAGAUCUUUCAGGUCAGUUCCUAUGCCCUAUUGGUAAAAUAUAAUUAGAUUAAAAACAUCCCUGCUUUCUGACACAACAAGCUCUUCAAGGUGGCCUUGAAAUUUAAUCUGGAAUUAGUUAUUUCUCCAAGAAUCCCUAGAUGAUUAUAGGUAAAAUUGUUAUUUUGACAGAGUUCUGGUCACUGUGAGAUAGUCAUUUCUACUAUGAGAGUUUCUCAAAUAUUCUUAACUUUCCUAUUGCUACCACUUAAGUUCUAGGAUAAAUCUGCCUGAUUAAAAAAAUCAGUCAAUGAAUAGAUUUAACAAUUGACAACAUCGUUAAUCUUAUCAUUAAAUAAACUUUAACUUGCUUUGAAUAUGUAAAGAAAGUCCAAUUUAAAUAACAGAGUUUUUUUUUAACAGUAGCAGGCGUUUUUUCUUCAUUCUCUAUAAAAUAUAAACAAAUCAGUAAAAUGUAAUGAAAUCUCAGAGAAAAUGUUAUAGCAAAUAAUUUGAUAGCAUUGUGAUGCCAGAGAGACUUGGCUUUGGCUUAGCUUCCAAGUCUGGCUGUAAAAGAAUUAGAAUUAUUUCAAUAGAUGUAUUCUUUAUGUACUUUUUUGAAAAGCACCAGAGUCCUUGACAAGCUAAGUCGUUAACUUAGACAGAAGGAAGUCCUGCAGAAUCCUGUACUGAGGGUGAGCAGUCAGGCUUAAGUAAUGAGAAGGCCACUAGAAGGAGCCUGCUGAAACAUGCACUACAAGCUACAUAUCAUUGUGAAGUUCCUUUAUAUUUUCCCUUUUGAGCUGCUGUUUCCCUAUCCUAUUCAUAUUUGAGCAAUUACUCCUUGCUAGAAAUGCUACCUUGAAAGAUGGUGAGAAACUAUUUAACUUCCCAUGAAAAUUACUAAUGCUUUCUCUCUCUCUCUCUCUCUCUCUCUCUCUCUCUCUCUCUCUCUCUCUCUCUCUCUCCAUAUGCAAAGGUGAUACUAUCAUCAUUAGGAGAAGUUGCAAGCUGAAAGUCAGUUUAUGGAAAAUGAAAAAAUUAUCCAACCAACUGGUGUUUAUUGGGUAUAUAAGACUGUACUGUAGAACACCAAUUUCUCUCUGUUCUUAAGGGAAUAUUUUUAAUGUUCAUGUUUAUAAAGAACUAUUUCCUACUAAUGUUGACAAAAAGAAAACAUAACCACCAAACAAAAACACAAACACAGUAUUCAGGAUGACUCUGUGUUAAAGAAAUUGAUUUAUGCUCAUUAUCAUACUGUAAAUACCAGAAGGAGCAUUUCAAUUAAGGAAAAUUAAAUUUUAUAAAGCAAAUUUGGACUGCAACCAGGAAAAAAUUGAGAAUGUAUUGGUACAACAUAUUUCUUAGAGAAAUGUCAUGCUUUUGGAAAGAACACUAUAGAAAGUCCAUUUAAUACCCAGUUGACUCUCAGGGCCAGAGGACUACAUAGAUCUAUUAAGUAAAGAGUUUUCAAAUUAUGGGACCUAUAUGUCUGUUUGUAUUUCUAUCUUCCUUCUCAAGGUUUGGCAUCCAGAAGAGAUUCAAUUAAUACUUUUGAAUGAAUAAAUGAAUGAAUGUAUAAAUGUAUUAAAUGAAGGCACAGAUAAUACAAAAAUAAUUUUCCAAACUCAACUAAUUAUGUUAGAAUCCAUAUUGCACAUUAGCAGAAACGGAAACCAUUCUUAAUUGUUUAGGCUUUUAUCUUCCCUUUAAAGCAGAACAAAGCAUGUCUUCAUUUUAAUAAUUAAUUUCACCAAUAUAAUAACUCACCUGCUUCAGUGAGUUUGAUGACACAGGAACAGCCCAGCUUUGACUUUGUGAAGAAGUAUAAAACUUUUCACUGAAAAGGAACUUCAAAUAUAUUGACUAUGGCCCUGAGAGGAGAGAAAACCUUUCCAUUAGAAAACAUUAUGUUUAAAUAUUAAGUAACUUGGUACUUUGGUUAGAUUGUUAAAUCUAUACCCAUGUUUUGAGAACAUAUGGCAGCCUCCUAAUACUAAAUUCCUCAGGGGAGCUAAAGAUGGAGGAUGGACCUGAAUUAAGCAGCACUCUCUAGAGACUCAGCCCUAAUUAAUUAAAACAAUCAGUAAGCAUAUUGUGAGUGCUUCCAAAAUCAUCUUCUGGUGAUAUCUCAGCAUGCUUGGGGACCUUAGACAUGGAUGGACUUCUGCAGUUAAGGACAGACUCCUCUCCUGAUUCUGUAUUUACAUAGUGCGAAAAUAUGUGGGUGCAAUUAAUUUGAACUCUGGACAAACCAGUGUGGGCCAUAACUGUUGCAACAAGGACCUCUGGCAUUUGAUUUACAUGCACACCAUUAAUGCCUGGAUUCUGCUUAGUUUGAAAGGCCAGCAUCAGGCCUCUCUUGAAUAGGCACCGCAGCUUCAAAACUUUCACAAUCCUUUGGUAAUUGUAUUUGCAUUUCACUAUUAAUUCUGGAAUUAUUUUCUCAUUUGGAUAAAGAGCACUUUCUCUGUCUGUGGCAGAAAAAGCAGUAAGCAGAUGACUGAUGUCAGUCCUUCAAAUCUGCAAUGAGAUCUGGGCAAUGGUGUGCUGUGGAACAUUUUCUAAGUAAAAAACAGGAUAUCAUCAUGUGAACCACAUUACCAUCUUUAAACAUGACCAUUGCUUUCAGUUUCCAUUUCCUACAAGUGGGAAACACAUUGCCAAUGACAGGCUGACUCGAGAUAGCAUUUGCUUCUCUAUCAAGUACAGUCUUUGGAUCUUGCAAACUCUCAUAUCAGGUUUGAUCCAAAGGAGGAAGAAUGUUUUUGUUUAUCAUGUUUUUGUUUAUGCUGAAGCUGAGCCAGCAAAAGUAGUGAUUAAAUUAAAAACAUUUCUAAGCAAAGAGAAGGAGCAUUUCUCUUGUGAAGAAAUGGAUUAUAGAUUCAUCUCUGAUUGGAAAGGAGAGUGUUGACAGUGAACUGUAAAGUUUAAUCAGUUCAGAUCUUGACUUCUAAAAAUGGCAGAUUCAUGAAAAGGCUUUUAAAUUUUCUUUCCUUGUUUUUUCCCCCCUUUCUGUUAGCUUAUUCUGAGACUUCAUCCCUGGAUCUUAAGGACACAAAGACACAAUUAGAGAAAGCAGGGAAGUCUCCUGUCUGAGUGCAUUUAACUUAUGGUUCAAUUGGUCUCUACACCAUAUCCUCUCUUCAUAGCCUUGUGCAGCUAGAAGCUAUGUGAACUCAGGCUGGAUAGUCACAAGCCUUUAAGUAUUCAUCUAGAAGCCAGAUUCUGUUUUUAGAAGAACCAUGCUUACACCUUUAAUUUCAUUUCUAUUUCACAUUACCCUCACAAUGUUAAUUGACUUGUUAAUGUAGGAGCCCUUGUGCAGUCCAAAUAAUGUCUUUCAUCUUUCAGGUCUCAGCAUUAAGUAAUCAGUAUCUCUUCUGUAACUGUUGAUUGAACUUAUUUGUUUACUUUUCUAUAGCCUUUUUUUUUUUACAAGUAGAAGGUUAAAUGUCAUAGACUAAGGUGGCAAAAACCCCUGCAAGAUGGCCCCAGUACCCCUGCCUCCUCCACAGUGCAUAGUCCUCUCUCACACUGUACCAGGGCUACCCCACCUGACUACUGGAAUUCAGCAGUGGUGAUGAUACUUCUAAGAUUAGAUUAGAAGAUGUGAUGGUCUGACUUGGGCUUGCCCUCCUCUCCUCCUUGUCCUUUCCCUCUCAUUAUGUGAACUGUGGAAACCCAGCUGCCAUGUGCUGAAUAGUCAUCGUGAUGUCUCACAUGUCAAGGAGCUGAAGCCUCCUGCUGUCAGCCAUGUGAGUCAGCUUGAAAAUCAACUCUACUAUCUUUUAAGUGUCUGCAGCCUUAGGAGAGACUCUGACAAAAGGAUUCAGUUAAGCUGCUUCUGGGUUCUUACUCUUAGACACUCUGUGAAGUAACAAAUGGGUUAAGUUUGGGGGCAAUAUGAUGGACAAAAAUCCACAGCUAAUAAAGGAAAGAUUUAUGUUUGAUUAUCUACUCUAACUCUCAACACACCUUGCUUUCGUAUUAUAUAUACAUAUAAAUGGAUUGAAUAAAUAUUUGCUGAAUAAACAAAUGAACCC